UGCAGAAGAAGCACCGGCUAACUCCGUGCCAGCAGCCGCGGUAAUACGGAGGGUGCGAGCGUUAAUCGGAAUUACUGGGCGUAAAGCGCAUGCAGGUGGUUUGUUAAGUCAGAUGUGAAAGCCCGGGGCUCAACCUCGGAAUUGCAUUUGAAACUGGCAAACUAGAGUACUGUAGAGGGGGUAGAAUUUCAGGUGUAGCGGUGAAAUGCGUAGAGAUCUGAAGGAAUACCGGUGGCGAAGGCGGCCCCCGUCGGACAGAUACUGACACUCAGAUGCGAAAGCGUGGGGAGCAAACAGGAUUAGAUACCCUGGUAG
rnacentral:rRNA from 1 species